AGAAAUACUCUAACAUUGUUCUCAGUGGGAAUGAGGUUACAGUCUUCUCUCAGUAAAGAUAUUCUUUUUAAAGCCAGGAAAUCAUCUCCCAUUACUCUCAAUGUCUGCUUAGAAUAACUCAGAAAAGAGGAGGGAACUGCUCCCAGAUGGUGGUCUCCUAAGCAUUCAUGAGAUGGAAAAGAGCACCGAGUCCUAUGGACAAUUGUGGAGGGUGUAUGCCUUUCUCAAAUGACCAAAUGACAAUGGUAUUAACUACGUCUUAGACCCUUUGCAGACAAUAAGUGGCUGUACUUUUGAAAGAGCCAUUUUUCAUAUAAAUGUCUGUAGUUGAAUGUUAUUCUUCUACCUCUUCUUUAGGAGGUAUAUAUAAUCAGGAAAAAUUACAUUACUCUUUAAAAAAGUUCCCCAGAUAUAGCUUAUGUGAUUUUAAUGAGUUUUACCUAUAAGACAAGUUUGAGGACUUUAUAUUACUAUUAUCCACAAAAUCAACACCAGGUGUUUAAUUUCUUAAAGGACCAUUUUAAUUAUUAGCUCCUAAACUAAUUAACAGUUUUACAUAUUAUAUUAUCUGAAAAUUCAUUUUGUACACGAAGGAACACACACACUGUAAUUUUUGUACAUCAUGAGAUUGAAUUUCUACUUCAUCCUUAACUGCAGAGGAGCAACUGAUUGUUCCAUAGUAUUUGCAUUCCUGGACAGAAGAUGCCACAGCUUGAUAACAUCAGGAUAAAAUUAAGUAGAAAGCAACUAAUAUUUGGAAAAAUCAUCAGGCUAAGAACAUCUUUCUCAACAGCAGUCUCUCAGUAUUCCUCAUUCUUCUAGUAAGGAGAGAUUUCAUCAGUGAAUCCAUAGAUGACUGAGGAUGUCAGCCUGAGAUCCAGAUGCUCAACUGCUGAUGCAGCAAGUGAUUCCAGGAAAAAGGACUAGAUCCUAGUGAUGCUGAGUCACAGCUUUGUGCCUCUUGUCUACAUGCCACCACAGUGAAGUGAGUUUGCUCAGAAUGAUUGAUGGCUUGUUGCCAGUACUGUUGGAGACAGUUCAGUGAUUGAGUCUUCCUGGUAUUGGUGUCACUAUCACAGUUCUUCAGAUUGGCCUUCAAGGUGUCUUUGAAUUUCUUCUUUUGCCCACUUCUAGAGCUCUGACCUCUGACUUGGGAGUAUAGGACCUGUUUUGGGAGCCACUUGUCAACUAUCCUUAUGGCAUGUCCUGUCUAAUGGAACUUAUGCCAUACAAACGUGAUUUCAAAGCU